ACCAACUUCCCUAAAAUCCUGCUGCAGGAGGUAACAUAACUGAGAGUUAGGUUUAGAAAGGGCAGUCUUAGAUCUUAGAUAUAGCAAGUAUUAAGACAUUAUUUUCAAGAUUACUAGAGAUUUUUUUUUUGAAUGGAGCCUUGCUCUGUCCCCCACGCUGGAGUGCAGUGGCAUGAUCUCAGCUCACUGCAACCUCUGCCUCCCGGGUUCAAGCAAUUCUCCUGCCUGAUCCUCCUGGGUAGCUGGUACCACAAGCAUGCUAUCACGCCCGGCUAAUUUUUGUAUUUUUAGUACAGAAAAGAUUUCACCAUGUUGGCCAGGCUGGUCUCGAACUCAUGACCUCAAGUGAUCUGCCUACCUCAGCCUCCCAAAGUGCUGGGAUUACCAGUGUGAGCCACUGUGCCCAGCGAGAAUUUUUUUCUUUUUUUAAACCUUGGUGCAGUAGCCUAGAAAUAAAAUACAUUCAGCAACUGUUGGGGCAAUAAUUAUUUAUUUUAAAUAUCUCAGAAGCUUUGUGUUAAUAGAACCCCCUCCCCCAAUUUUCAUGAGCAUUAAACAUUCACCAUUCUCAAAACAUGCAUGACAUACAAUUUAGAUUUACAUUGUUUUAAUCAUUCCCUUUCAACAUGAAUUUUUAGAUUCUAUAACAUUAAUUUAGAGGAUACCACACCAA
rnacentral:lncRNA from 1 species